UUCCCGAAGGGCCACUUCUUUUCACAAAAAAUUUUAGUUGCACUUUAUAUAUUUAAUUUCCAUUUCCAAAGCGGUUGCUAAUAUCCCGUUUUCGAAACGUUAUCCUCUCAAUUUUCACAUAUGCAUAUAUGCUCUUCAUAUUCAAAGAGGAGACGAAUGUUGAGGACAAAGAAGAUUCAAGUAAGCAUAAGGAAUGAUAAUGACCAAUAUCAAAUUUUUCUGUGGUCAGAUUGUGAAGUUUGUUGUUGUUAUAUUAAUGUGCUAGGGUAUUCUCUUUGAUCUUUUGAAUCGAAAAACCUAAUCCAUGGGAAUUUUAGCCACUCUAACCACGAGGAGGUGGUUGUCUUGAGUAUAUGUCUUGAUGCUCCAGUAACUACGACUCAGGAAAUUGACCUCCAAAUUCAAAUGUCCUCAAUGUUCGGUACGAAGUCUUUCAUUGGGAUUUUUGGCAGCAUUAGUUUUCUAACAUUUGUUAAAUAUCAGAUUUUACCUCUCAGUAUGUCGUCCACUCUUCAUUUCACCAACACAUCAGGACAUAACCAAUAUAAUGUUUAUAAAUCUUAUAUUUUCCUUUUUAUAAUUGAUCAGCAAUUCAUAAAGGUACUUUCUUGAAGUGUAAACUUGGUGUUAAGAUACUAUUACAUGUCCUCUCACGUUUUAACGAUGCUGCUCUAAAAUAACAACUAAAAAGGGAAAGAAGGCAAGAAAAGAAAGAGGAACAAUAUAAACUUGCAUAGCUCAUCUGAAUGCAGGUUAAGUCAAAAGUAGACAAGUGAAUUUACAACAAGAUUGAUGUGCAGUGGGAAGAUAUCAUGCAAUGAGGACUAUUUUAUGUAUAUUUGAUUUAGACAUGUAGCAUUUAGGUUAAAGGUAGGACAAGACUCAGGAGCAAGUCGUGAGUUUGAUAUUGUAUUUCCUUAUCCCUCCACUUGGGUUCAAGAUGCUUUUGAACUUUAUCAAAUUGCAUAUCUAUUUUGCUUAUAAAAACUGCUAAACUUGCAAAUUGGAUUAAAGUCUAAAUGCAGAUUUUGAAU